AGCACGGUGGCCGAGUGGUUAAGGCGUUAGACUUAAGAUCUAAUGGGCAUAUGUCCGCGUGGGUUCGAACCCCACCCGUGCUA
rfam:Trichinella murrelli scaffold278s, whole genome shotgun sequence.